UACGUAGGGUGCAAGCGUUGUCCGGAAUUAUUGGGCGUAAAGAGCUCGUAGGCGGUCUGUCGCGUCGGAUGUGAAAAUCCAGGGCUCAACCCUGGACCUGCAUUCGAUACGGGCAGACUAGAGUUCGGUAGGGGAGACUGGAAUUCCUGGUGUAGCGGUGAGAUGCGCAGAUAUCAGGAGGAACACCGGUGGCGAAGGCGGGUCUCUGGGCCGAAACUGACGCUGAGGAGCGAAAGCGUGGGGAGCAAACAGG
rnacentral:rRNA from 1 species